rnacentral:rRNA from 1 species
UCUCUUACUUCCAAUCGGUGAAAUUGACCUUCCCGUGAAGAGGCGGGAAUAUAACAAUAAGACGAGAAGACCCUAUGGAGCUUUAAUUAACUAACCCAAUAGAAUUUAUUCAAUUAACCAAUAUGGGACAAAGUAAUUCUACAGUGGGACAGCAAUUUAGGUUGGGGCGACCUCGGAGUAUAGCACAACCCCCGAGUGAUAUAAAUCUAGACAUACCUGUCAAAACGAACUAUCAUAAAUUGAUCCAAAAAUUUUUGAUCAACGGAACAAGUUACCCUAGGGAUAACAGCGCAAUCCUAUUCAAGAGUUCAUAUCGACAAUAGGGUUUACGACCUCGAUGUUGGAUCAGGACAUCCCAAUGGUGCAGCAGCUAUUAAAGGUUCGUUUGUUCAACGAUUAAAGUCCUACGUGAUCUGAGUUCAGACCGGAGUAAUCCAGGUCGGUUUCUAUCUAUUAACCAGUCUCUCCCAGUACGAAAGGACAAGAGAGACAAGGCCCACUUCGACGAAGCGCCUUAGGACUAAUAUAUGACAUAAUCUUAAUAUAACCAGUUCAACUACACUAUUCAACCCGAGAACAGGGUUU